rnacentral:tRNA from 1 species
UUGGCCCAGUGGUUGAGCACUCAGCUGCUAACUGAAAAGUUGGUGGUUCGAACCCACCA